GACGAACGCUGGCGGCGUGCCUAAUACAUGCAAGUUGAGCGCUGAAGGUUGGUACUUGUACCAACUGGAUGAGCAGCGAACGGGUGAGUAACGCGUGGGGAAUCUGCCUUUGAGCGGGGGACAACAUUUGGAAACGAAUGCUAAUACCGCAUAAAAACUUUAAACACAAGUUUUAAGUUUGAAAGAUGCAAUUGCAUCACUCAAAGAUGAUCCCGCGUUGUAUUAGCUAGUUGGUGAGGUAAAGGCUCACCAAGGCGAUGAUACAUAGCCGACCUGAGAGGGGGAUCGGCCACAUUGGGACGGAGACACGGCCCAAACUCCUACGGGAGGCAGCAGGAGGGAAUCUUCGGCAAUGGACGAAAGUCUGACCGAGCAACGCCGCGGGAGUGAAGAAGGGUUUCGGAUCGGAAAACUCUGUUGGUAGAGAAGAACGUUGGUGAGAGUGGAAAGCUCAUCAAGUGACGGUAACUACCCAGAAAGGGACGGCUAACUACGUG
rnacentral:rRNA from 1 species